UACAGAGGGUGCAAGCGUUACUCGGAAUUACUGGGCGUAAAGCGUGCGUAGGUGGUUUGUUAAGUCUGUUGUGAAAGCCCCGGGCUCAACCUGGGAAUGGCAAUGGAUACUGGCAGGCUAGAGUGCGGUAGAGGUAGUGGAAUUCCCGGUGUAGCGGUGAAAUGCGUAGAGAUCGGGAGGAACACCAGUGGCGAAGGCGGCUACCUGGACCGAGCACUGACACUGAGGCACGAAAGCGUGGGGAGCAAACAGGG
rnacentral:rRNA from 1 species